rnacentral:rRNA from 1 species
AUGGCUGUCUUUCAUGCUUUUUACCAGCUCGCCGGGGGCGAUUUUGCGGCCUUAAACAGAGCUAUGAUUGUCCUGCUGCCAAAAAAGGAUGGCGCAACCAAAUUGUCCGACUUCCGCCCAAUUAGCCUAAUCCAUUCGGUGGCCAAGCUGAUCGCCAAGGUCCUCUCGAUUAGGCUA